GUACGUAAUUUGCGAAGCCAUAGAAUUUAAAUUGGUUCCGCAUCCGUUCGUGAGAGCUCGAUUGCAAGAAUGAGAUUGGAUCAGCUUGCAGGAGGGAAGAAGAUUUGAUUGAGCUGCUGACAAUUGGAAUAAAACACCUUAACUGAGGAGGAGAGUGAAAGCGGAGAUAGUCAAACUUAUUCUCAUAGUUGUCAGACAGAAGACACCAAAAUGCCUCGUGGGGUUGCAGUGCGUGUGACUACUAUGGAUGCAGAACUGGAGUUUGCCAUCCAGCCCAACACGACAGGCAAACAACUUUUCGAUCAAGUUGUGAAAACAAUAGGUCUGAGGGAGAUCUGGUUCUUUGGUUUGCAGUACAUUGAUUCAAAAGGACUUGUAACAUGGCUAAAACUCAACAAAAAGGUAGGCAUCGUAAUGUUUAACUCUUUGCACGCUGAAUUAAUUUUGGGGGGUACUAAUGUUAUUUUCUUUAAUACAAGAUUUCCAUAUUACACCAUUGCUACUUCUUAUUAUUAUAUACAUGUAGAUGUUAUUCAAGAACUAAAUUGCUUUUCAUUAGCUUGUCUAAUUUGAAGUUAGGGGAGAAAACUAAUUAUGAUUGGUGAAUUUUAUUGUACGAAUGUGCAAGAUUGCAACUUCAGCGCGCAAAGGGUUAAUAAUGCAACUACCCUGCACUUACAUGUAUGCACAUGCUGAAUAUUUUCUGAGUUUUAAUAGGAGACUCAAAGGUAUGUCCUGGGAUGUCAAUUACAAAGACAUUCUGUAGGAGACUGCAAAAUUCUACUAUUCUACAACACUUCAAAUGUAUUCACAAAGAUGAGGAUGGCAUGCAAUAUGCUGUACUCUCAUUUAACAUAAAGAAGUUUGACCUUUAACCCAUGUUGUAUUGCAGUAUUUGCUAGAUACACAAAGAUGCCCACAGUUUUCACACAGUUAUUUUGUACUGUUUUAAAGUUCUGUAGGUUUCAUGAAGAAUACUCCCAUUCUAAAAGAAUACUCAUUCCAACAAGGCCCUCCCUC